rnacentral:lncRNA from 1 species
UUUUUUAUUCUAGUUUUGCUCAUCGACAAGGCAAACGGAGAAAACACUAACGCUUAUAACAUCAUAACAUAAUUAGGUUUUUUGGCCGCCGCGGUCAAAUCUACAAUUAUCGCAGCUCCUCCAUCUCCAUCUUCGUGUCAACUCACCACUCCAUUUGAUCUAACUUCACGAAAUUGUCUCUUUCUCUGACUUAUUUACCGUAAUCAUCAUCACCACCAAUAUAAUCAUUACCACAUCUUCACAAACAUUAACACUUACAAUCAUUUUUGCCACUUAACCAUCGCUCUUGCCAGAAAACUUAGCCACAUACAAUCAUCUUCAUCGUCAUCGCCUCAGAGCCCUUCUCGACCACCGUCAACUUCUCUGGAGAUGUGUUAUGGAAAGAGAGAAAAGAAAAGA